UACGGAGGAUCCAAGCGUUAUCCGGAUUUAUUGGGUUUAAAGGGUGCGUAGGCGGCCUAUUAAGUCAGGGGUGAAAGACGGUGGCUCAACCAUCGCAGUGCCUUUGAUACUGAUAGGCUUGAAUACACUAGAGGUAGGCGGGAAUGUGACAAGUAGCGGUGAAAUGCAUAGAUAUGUCACAGAACACCAAUUGCGAAGGCAGCUUACUAUGGUGUCAUUGACGCUGAGGCACGAAAGCGUGGGGAUCAAACAGG
rnacentral:rRNA from 1 species